rnacentral:lncRNA from 1 species
CGGGACACCAUGGAGCGUGCUGGAUCGCGGGGAGGUAGGAGCUGAUGCGGAGGUCUGCAGCCCCUUGCAUCUGCUCCCGAAUAAGUCAUCAGCAUCCAAUGCGAUUUGUCAACAUGAGUGCAUUUCUGUGCUUCAGACCUAAGAUUUCACUAAUAUCUCAAUUUUCCAUGGUAAUUAGGCUAGAUGAUGAGAAGAAAGAAAGGAAGAAGAAGAAAGAGAGGAAGAAAGAAAGAAAGAAAGAAAGAAAGAAAGAAAGAAAGAAAAAGAAAGAAAGAAAGAAAGAAAGAAAGAAAGAAAGAAAGAAAAGAACUGCUUGAGUAUUGACCAUGUACUGCAAAAUUCUCAAAACCUUUUUCCUUGCUUUUCUUUAAUUUCUUGGGAUUUUUUUUUUCCUGUUCAUGUUUUCAAGUGUCUGUGAGGCCGGGAUUUCAGCCCCCGCUGCUCAAGCCUGCUGUCAUUUCACUGCUCACUGGGCAAGCCCCUCUGGGAGUGGCUGUGAGCUGGUUUGCAGCUAAGGCCCCCCAACGGGCGGCUCUCCGAGGCCUGUGAUAAGUUGGGGGGGGGCUGCUCCUCUUGAGAUAAACCGCGAGCAUCCUUCUCUUCAGCGUCCCUGUUCGCUUGUCUCGCCCCGUGACAUAGAGCUGGAACCCAGAAACGUCUCCUUCCUCAUCCAUAUUUAUACUAAGAAGAAAUGGGCAUUAAUGAGAAACAAUUGCUUAAAUGAGACUUGCUCUAAAGCAAAGGACUUUGCGGAUAUUCCGGGGUUUAAAGGGCAGCCCAUUAGGACGGUUUCCAUCUCUUUAAAACAGGUCACCUUGGGGUUCUGGGGAGAGAGUGUCAUUCUCAAGGUCAUCGUGUGCACCGCGCAGCGGCCCGGGGAGAAGUGAGCCCUGCAGAUGGGCUGGUGAACGCUGAAGACCGACUACCGACUGGCGGUGCUCCGGGUCCUGCUGUCCUCUGGCCGACAGGCCACGGCCGCUCCACGCUUCAGAUUCGCCCACUGACCUCCUACCGCGGGAGUGUGGAUCCAGAGCGACCGUUGCCUUACAUCGUGAUCCUGACCACUCCCUCCACUCUCAAGGUCCACGGGAUUACUCCCUGGGUCCACUACACCCACGUCCGGCCAGCUGACCCACACGCCAUCCUCAAGGACUGUGUUCCAGAAUGGAAAAGCCAACCGGACAAGGACAAUCCCCUAAAGCUAAGACUGCGCCCUUCUCACUUACUUCCCACCUCCAGGACUCCCUAGUCUGAGGUUGUCCUUCAAAAUAGAAGGGGAUUAGACUUAGUCUUCUUACAACAAAGGGUGGGGGGCGGGUAUGUGCUGCCUUAAUCAUUCCCCCUGGUUCACUCUGAGAGCAACCUGGACCCAUGAGGGGCAAACAUACACCCGGGACACUAUCACCACAAAGAGGGUAAUAAGCAUAUCCAUCACCAGCCAAAGAUUUCCCGAGUCUCUGCUGGGAACCCAGCCUGAGAUCCUCCCUCUUAACAAGUUUUGAAGUGCACACCCGCGUGCUGUUAGCUAUAGGCCCUAUGCCGUACAGCAGAAAUCUACAGCUCACUCAUCUUGUGUAAGUAUAACUUUAUUUUCAUUAAACAAUGUCUUUUUUUUUUUUUAAAGAUUUUAUUUAUUUGGGAUCCCCAAGUGGCUCAGCGGUUUAGUGCCGCCUUCGGCCCAAGGCAUGAUCCUGGAAUCCCGGGAUCGAGUCUACCAUCAGGCUCCCUACAGGGAGUCUGCUUCUCCCUCUGCCUGUGUCUCUGCCUCUCUCUCUCUCUCUCUCUCUCUCUCUGUCUGUCUCUAAUGAAUAAAUAAAUAAAAUAUAUUUUUUAAAGAUUUUAU